rnacentral:rRNA from 1 species
AACGGAGGGGGCAAGCGUUACUCAUCUUUAUUGGGUGUAAAGGGUAUGUAGGUGGUAGAAAACCGUUAACAGAAAGAACAAAUUAGCAAUUUGUGGCCGUUUUCGGGUUGAUCUAUUAGAAAAUCAUUGGGGUUGGCAGAAUUACUAAUGUAAAGGUAGAAUCUGACGAUAUUAGUAGGAAUACCAGUGGCGGAGGCGGCUUUCUCAUGAUUUUGACACUGAUGUACGAAAGCAUGGGAAUCAAACAGG